CUGUGUAGUAUCCGGUAGGUAAGCGUUUAUUAACAUAUUUUUGGAUUUGCGUUUGAUUCUGAUGAAGUUUGUUUUUAGGUUAGAAUCUCCUGAAAGUGCUACCGGAAACGUCGAAAAUGAGCAUCGCUUCCAUGCUGAGCGGCCCAGUGCCAGUUCCUACGCGUGGUGAUCCGGUGACCCAUAAGUUAAAACCUGCCACCGACGCCACCGGAACAGUCGUCGCAGGUACCAGUUGGAGCCGGCAACGGCCGUGCCUGAUCCGAACAGCUACUGUUCCAUCGGGAGGAUGAAAUCUAGUUCGAGUCGAUUGUGCGGGUUAAUCCGGCCGCCCGCAAGCAAAAAUUGAACGAAGCAUUCCGAAGAUUGCCAAGCAACCGGAUCAAGACGGAGCAUGACAACGAGCAGCAGCAGCAGCACUACCAAAGGAAUGAGACCCGCCAGUCGUCGAGCGGUGGGUACAGCAAAACAUUGCCUACGAAGCGCGGCGUUACAUCACUGUCGGAAGUCCGUUGCGGUUCAAAAACGCGUCGCUCCAGCCAUCGACCCCCAAACUGCUGCUAGUCCUUUACCGAACAUGCGAAGCUCAGGGUGGUUAAAUCUUCGCGAUUUUCGCGAAUUUCGCGGAUUUCGCGGAAAUCUAAAUUGCUCUCACCGAGCAGGAUUUAGAUAAAUUUGCGUUCUUUCUUCUGGAAAUACUAGAUUUAGACAAACAUUUUCACUAGCCAUCGAAAUCUACGUUGUAUUCUUGAAGAUAGACCCACAGGAACAUUCAACAGAAAUCCAUUCGGAAUGACGGACAAACCCAGCCGGUCGAGUCUGUGCGAUGUAAAAGUUGUACAAGGAAGAGCAGCGCGAGGAAGUCCAACCCCCAAGAGAGGAGUCGGCCAUCUUGAACUACUGCACCUCAGCAUCGAAGUGUACGAGAAGCGGUACCAGGCGCAAGACAUUGCCGGCCAGAUGCUGGCCGAUUUAGCUUCGAACGCAACGAAGGCGUAACGUCCUGCGUUAGAACCAAUCAACUCGAACCAGUACUCGUCGCAUCACGAGGCGAUGGCCGGCGGCCUGUGGGUCCGGUUCCAGAAGGAUCGUGGCGGGACGUCGACCGGGUCAGCGGCGGUUGGCGGCAGCAGUUCUGUGGGCCGGGACGGAUCGGUGCUAGCCGACGCCAGCUAAAGCUAUCACUACAAGUAUCAUCCGGCGGGGGGGCGUUGGUUCGUUGAUCGGAGGACGUGGCACGGUGGAUCCCAGUGUGAUCGCCGCCGGCGCUGAACUCCACGGCAGUGGUGUGAUGUUGGAAGUGUUUCUCCAGUACCGAGCGAUUUUAACCACAUUUAUAAGACUGCCGGCGAUCCAGCGCUGUCCUUGGACGAGGAGGAUCUUGCCAACCUGUAGGGUGCAAACGGCCCGGGGGAAGAGUACGCGUAAAUUACACACUUGGCGACCACGACCGAGACCGGUGUACUACGACCUGUUGCUGAUGACCUACCAGCUCAGUAGGCACCUUUCGCUUGAGCUGCGCGAUGCUUUGGGUACUGCUCGGUGGAUAAAUUGUUACUAUGAAGCAGAUCGAACUCGAUGCGCCGCUCCUGAAUUUGGAUUUCGCUAGAGUUUUGGUGCUGCUGGAGCCCACUUCCAGCUGACUGGAAGCUGCAGGAUGUCCUGGGACGACAUGGGUGAGCGAAACCGGUAGUUUGAACAGCCAACGCCCCAAAUGCAUGUGCACAUCGCAGCAUCCGGUACCCCAAAAUGUUCAUUAGUCGGUUAUAACAGUUUUUCGAUAGUUCGUACCAUAAGUCAGAUUUGUUCUGCUAGGAUUAAAGUGAGAUAUUAAAAUUACUAGUAUUUAAGUAGGUUACAUUUUCGUAAUAAAUAAAUAAAUAAUUGCCGUUCAAAAGCCAAACGACAGGCGACACCUAGUGUUGAGUGGCAGAACAGAGCGAAGAAUGUCGAUUGAAAUUUCCGCCCUUUGAGGUUAUGUAUGCGAAUUCUGUUUUGUUAAAUUCCAGCGUUGAGAACAACUUUUGAGCAAAAAUUCGAGCUGAUACUUUGUUAACUUUUGAUGCUCUAUCAUUUUAAACAAUAUUAUUUUUUCAAAAUUUUUUUUUUUCAAACUUUUUUUUAUUGCGUUAAUUUAUAGAGGGCAAAGAGUUAACAAUCGUACUACUUGAAUUUUUUCUCAAAAGUUGUUCUAUGAGCUGUAAAUUCAAUUUUAAGUUUGCAUUCCUAUGUAACCGAACAGCGAAAAUUUGAAUCGUCAUUCUUCGAUGCUUUGCGCCACCUGUCGGAAUUUUUGAGCUUUUGAUCGCGAAUUUGAAAUUGAAUUGUUUUUCAAGUAAAUCGAAGAAAAUUGGGCUUAUCUAUUCACCGAUAGGUGGCAGCACAAUAUUCCCGCUAUUCGAUAGCUUCCCAUUUUUGCCACCAGGCGGCUACCGCCAAAUCAAAAGUUACACAUUGGAUGCUUUUUUGGCCAGAAUCCAGCAAAUGUGUUCCGGCCUGUUUACACGGCGCGAUGGUUCAAGCGUGGUCUUGUGCGAAAAUGGUUGGAUUCAACGCUUUUUGGUGUAAUUCUGAUCUUCAGUGUAGAUCUUCAUGUUGGCUAGGGGAGUUUGUCUUUCGAUUUCGUCCGCAAAAGCUCAUGAAUCAUCGAUACUCUCAUCUGAAGCUGGACAGGUGUGGCAUGUAGUUGUAGUUGUUGAUGCCUAAGAAGUGUUUUGGAGCAUAAUUUAUGCUUGGUUGCCUCUCUAAGCGGAUUUUGCGGGUCAAACUACGAGAUGAAAUCAAAUAACAACAAAUACUGGGAUCGGUUACCGGGAGGCGGAUAAGCCGACAUUCUGUUGCCGAGAAGCGGCCAAACGAUCUACUUUGAAGAACCAGCUGGGAAUUUUGAUCGUUUUGUGUGGGGACGUCCAUAAACUACGACGGAAACUACAGGAAGAAUUUAAUAAUCUUUUUUUGUUGGAUGGAUCAAUAAAGAACUAAUUUAGGACAAAUUUUGUGAAUUUGGGUAGGUUUACUAACACCAAUUGAAAGAAACCAGAUAAUGGGCCUAGGUGAUUAGCGCCUUCGCUCGUUGUAAGGGAUUUUCCCCCGUGUUUUCACCUUUCCUACCACUUCUUUGUCAAUGUCUCAUCUUCUUUUCUCUGACUGAAUGCUAGUUCGUUCGAAAGUCGUUUGCGUUCCUUUAGACGGUUGUUGUUGCCAGCUCGAUUUACUCGGGUUUGCUCAACAUUGUCUUUCGACUUCUGAGUCUUAUUCACGGUCAUCGUCUGAGCAUCCUCAUUCACAGACUCGCGCUUUACGUUUUCCCAUUGAUCUAGAACGACUGCAGGUUCUAGCGGGGACUCCCCAUCAACGCGUUAGCUCCGGGUUCUUGGUGUAGUAGGUCAUCGUCCCAACUCGCAUCGUGGACUCGCUCUGUCUUCUGUUCGAGAGGAUAAGCUUUACUCACAGCAACAACCCCUAAUGAGCGCAAACUUCCCUAGUCAGAUCUACUAAAUCAUUUCUUCUAUUCUCAGAUUAGGCUGACAUUCA